AGCGGGCUGCAGGGCUGCGGGCGCUUGGUUCGGCCUGGCCCGGCCGGCGGCUCCUAACACCGGGCGGGCGGCUGCGGCGGCACUUCCGGGUUGGCCUUCUCCAUGUUGGUCUCGGGAACGUGAAGGGGCGGGGCCUCGAGGUCAGGGGUCAGCACCUCCCUGGUUGCCGUGGCGACUGGAGGCGCGCGACGCGGGCGCAAUGGCGGGGACCCGGGGCUUGAUGCUGCUUGGGCCUGGCCCAGUGGCGGGUCCUAGGGACGUGGGUACCUGCAGAGGCCGGCAGAUGGAGAUUCAGAAACAUAAGGACAACAAGAAACUUCCCCAAGGUAUCAUUAUAGUCUUUAGACUUCAGACACACACCACACCUCAAAUAUAUACACAACUGAAAGGAAAAUUAAGGAAGUUUUUCAAAGAACCCUAUUCCGAGUAAGAAGUGUGUUGCAUGAAUUUCUAAGAAAUGUAUUUCUCACAAGUCUGGAGAUGGGAAGUCAAAGACCAAAGUACCAGCAGAAUGGUUGUCUAGUGAGGGCCCUCUUCCUCCUAGAUGACAGUCUUUGCACUGUGUCCUCAAGGGUAGAAGGAAUGAGCCAGCUCUCUGGGGUCUCUUUUAUAAAAGUGCUAAUCCCAGUCAAGAGGGCUCUGCCAGGGGCCCUGCCUCCCAAUAUUAUCACCUUGGUGCUAACCAAUAUUUUCUAACUUCCAUUUGCUACUCUAAUGUUAACUCUGUUAUCUCAAUUUUAAUAAUAAUAAUAGCUGACAUUUGCUGAUGACAUGCCUUACACUGCAUUCAUUAACAUCUCAAUCUCAUUUAAUUUGAAAGAGAUAAAGCAACAGCCAAUACACACAUUACCACUUUUUUUCCUAUCCUGUUACAAAGGAGAUGAGGUUGUGGGAGAACUCUCUUUAGGCAUUGUUCACAUCAGGACACUUGAGAAACAGAUCCUUCAUAUCCUUUGGACAACUCUUGUACUUCAGUUGGCUUUAAGCAUUAUCAGAGCAUCCUUGACAUGAUGCCAGGUCCUAACACCGCUUCAGUGAAAGCUCAGAGACAAGCAAAAGAUAAUUGAUCUAUUUUGUGCCGCAUGACAUACUCGAUGAGCAGCAACAUAUACUGUGGUGUUUGGCCUCCAUAAACUGCAGAGAAAUUGAAAUAUAGUAAUAAACUUUAUGCACGGACAAAGGGUGACCUAGGAUAUCACUGAACUCUUCUGCCUUCAUAACCAAAUGUCAAAAUGCUAAUAGUCUGUUCCUUGUGGAAAAAUGUUGAGUUUUCAUUCGGGAGAUCAGGACUUACACACUAACUCAACCUACAGUAGACACUUGCUAGAGAAUAAAACACAAUAAUGCACGUAGAAUCGUUCUGUAAACUGUAAAGAAUUUUACAAAUAUGAAAUUUUAUUAUGGUUUUAGUCUUGUAUCUAUUAAAUGUAUACCUAUUAGCAUGCACACUUUUUUCUUCUAGCAUCAAAGGUUGCUUAAAAUAACAGUGGAACAUUUAAAAGCAAGAGAAUUCUAAUUUACCAUCAUUCAAAUUAUGUUAAAUCCAACUCAACUUUAUAAGCUAAGGAACAUGUGAAGGAUAAAUAAAAAUUUGAUAGUUAAGAAGAUAAAUAUAUGCAGAUAAAUUAUGUGAUGAGUCAAAUUGAUUAUUACAGGACAAUAUACUGUAUUAAUAAAACAGACUAAAUUUAAAUGUAUUGUGCAAUGGCAAACCUAGUGCCUUCUUGGAAAAACAUGCCUUAACAAGCUCAUGUGGUUGCAAGGUUGAUAAUAUCUUGAUAAUAACUUAUGUUGUUCUUAUUCCUAGUAAUUGCUGGCCUCCUUAUGACCUUCCGCCUAGUUUCAGGCAGUAGCUAGGAGAGCUAGACUAACUGCUCCAGAGAAGUGAGGCCAAGGCAUGCAACAGAGUCACUUCUCCGCUUUUCCAUUUCAAAGUAGACAAUAGGGGAAGAUAUAACAAAAGCCAAAAUUUAUGCAGUAAAGAAAAAAUUGGGGAAGAAUGCAAUUAAUGAAAGACCUACACUAUACAAGGAUUUCACUGGACGAAGUGAAGAAUAGGGAGCUUGUAAAGAAGAUCAAGAUAGUUGGACAGGUGGAAUGUCUCCAAGACCUUUCCACUCGCCUCCCCACUUGUUGAGCAUGGGAGCUGGGCAAAUGGAUGAUAGACCAUCCAGAUAAAUUUUGGCAUCUAAAAGUAAUUGUCACUUGCAUCUUGUUUCUCAAGAAGGACCUUGAAAGUAAGCAAACUCCUAGAGCUCCCUAAUCCCAUGCACCACAUUGGCUUGGAGCAGCAACAGUAGCAGUAGAAUAGCAGAGCAGGGGGACUCAAGGCCAAGACGGUCUUGUUACAGGCAACUCCCUGAGCCUCCUUCCAUCCGAGAGGUACCUGAGAACCUCUAAAAAUUUCAUUUCCCCCUGAAAGGUGAGAAAGUGACUGAGAGAGGGCUGAUAAACUAGGGUCCUCCAGGUCGGGAUUGGGAAAAUUCAGAAUAUACAUGGAUAAAGAACCAGGGACUGGCCAUGAUAGGACCUACACCUAUUACUUCAUAUGACUUGCUAAUAGGAGUCAAUGCUGACAGCCAUAGACCUUCCUGGGCUUCUCCCUGGGGCCUCAAUUUCAGUCCAGCGUUAAGAACUUAGUUUUGGUCUCAGGGAGAAGGAUAGGGAGAUGGAAAUUUUACCUGAGUUUAAAAACCUGAAUUUAUGCAGAUAUGACAUUUUCUGGAUACAUUUUGACAAGAGUAGAACUAGGGGAAUCAAAAUAGAGAUUAUGUUGAGUAACAGGGAAAUAGAGUUACAGUUCUUGCCUAUCAUCUGAGUAUAUGGACUGAAAUACUGUACCUGCUACAUACAUUGUAAGCAAAGUGAGGUCAUGGCCAGAGCCCAAGGGUUUGAGGAGCCUUCUAUGACGUGAUGAGAUGGUCUUGGGUCCCCUAUAUGAUUAGCUUGUGGUGGUACAUUAGGACUAAAUAUUCCAAAUGCAUUAACAUAAAGCUGAAGUGAUGUCCUUAGUGAACUUGGUCUUAAAAAUUAAGAGCAUUUUGGUUGGGUGACCUACCAACAACAUACAGGGAAGAGAUACAGGAUCUUGGUUGAUUCUCACUGCAGUAGACAUUGAUUUUGUGGUGUAGCAGCUUGUAAAAUUAAUGCAAAUUUGAGAUGAACUAAUAAAAAUAUAGUUCAUGAAGGUGCCCCACUACUUGCCCUACCUCUCCUCUCCUGUUACAAUAGAUCACCCAUCUUUGUUCCCAUCUGAGGACUCAGGUAAUGGACUUCAUCUCUUCUUGUCUUCUCAAGGAUUUUGCAUCUGCCAUUAUCCUUUCUCCCUCCUGUAUCCUCAGUUGUUUUCUUCUCUACUGGAUCAAUGUCAUCAACAUACAAAUAUUAUCUAGUAUUUCUCAUAUU
rnacentral:lncRNA from 1 species